UGGGGAAUCUUCCGCAAUGGACGAAAGUCUGACGGAGCAACGCCGCGUGAGUGAUGACGGCCUUCGGGUUGUAAAGCUCUGUUAAUCGGGACGAAUGGUUCUUGUGCGAAUAGUGCGAGGAUUUGACGGUACCGGAAUAGAAAGCCACGGCUAACUACGUGCCAGCAGCCGCGGUAAUACGUAGGUGGCAAGCGUUGUCCGGAAUUAUUGGGCGUAAAGCGCGCGCAGGCGGAUUGGUCAGUCUGUCUUAAAAGUUCGGGGCUUAACCCCGUGAUGGGAUGGAAACUGCCAAUCUAGAGUAUCGGAGAGGAAAGUGGAAUUCCUAGUGUAGCGGUGAAAUGCGUAGAUAUUAGGAAGAACACCAGUGGCGAAGGCGACUUUCUGGACGGAAACUGACGCUGAGGCGCGAAAGCCAGGGGAGCGAACGGGAUUAGAUACCCCGGUAGUCCUGGCCGUAAACGAUGGGUACUAGGUGUAGGAGGUAUCGACCCCUUCUGUGCCGGAGUUAACGCAAUAAGUACCCCGCCUGGGGAGUACGACCGCAAGGUUG
rnacentral:rRNA from 1 species